rnacentral:rRNA from 1 species
UACGUAGGGAGCAAGCGUUGUCCGGAAUCAUUGGGCGUAAAGCGCGCGUAGGUGGCCCGGUAAGUCCGCUCUGAAAGUCACAGGCUCAACCUGUGAAAGCGGGUGGAUACUGCCGGGCUAGAGUCCGGAAGAGGCGGGUGGAAUUCCUGGUGUAGCGGUGGAAUGCGCAGAUAUCAGGAGGAACACCAACGGCGAAGGCAGCUCGCUGGGACGGUACUGACACUGAGGCGCGAAAGCGUGGGGAGCGAACAGG